UCUCACUUUGAUUUCUAGAAGGAAAACUAGAGUUGAGGCCAUAUUAGAAAAUAUAGGUCAAAUCUCGGUUUCUGUGGUUACCAAACACUGUCAACCACCAGCGACUCUCUCCCUGGGGGUGAGGCCAGGGUUCCGAGGCCUGGCAGCCCGGCCCGGCUCCUCUCGGUCUGCGCCCCCCGCCCCGCUCUGGGGCCCCGCUGGCCCUGGAGGGUCUGCAGGGAGCGCUGCAAGCGGACGGGGGCCUGCGGGGACCCUGCCCUCCACUUCUCGGGGUGGGGGUUUGGCCGUGCCGCGGAUGGGCCUCGGGGGACCCCGGGCGGCGGCCCUGCCCACGCGCCUGCCGGCUGCGCGAGUCCGCGCGGCCGCAGGGAGCGCCCCGCCUGGGCACGGGCCGUGCCCGCCCGGAGGAGGGAGGAGGGAGGAGGCCGGCCGCCGCGGGAACAAUGUGGUCGGUUGUUUUGCCGACUGUCAGCCUCGUUCCCGGAUCCUCCUUUCCACGCCCCUCGGCCUAACCGCCACAGGCUCGGCACGCAGAGGAAAGAGCCCCCUUAUUUGGUCUUGGAAAGAAAGGGGAAAGGUUAUCCUCAGAUGCCUGCGGCGUUGGGUCAUCGGCCCGCCGCAGUCGGCCGCGCCGGGUGCAGGGCCGCGGCCCGCCGGUAGGUGGCAGCGCCGGGCAGCGCCUCGCCGCGACGCCCGAAGUGGUAAACAAGCCCGCAGGUUCCGGGUCCUCGCUCGGGGUCUCCUUUUGUUCAAGCUUAAACAUCGGAACAUCGGCCUCAGUUGGAGGGCGUGACUUUGCCGUGUCGAUUUCACGUGAACCAUUCGCGAGGGCACGAGCGGAUGCAGGCACCAGUUUUAGGGCCAGCGGGGGAGUUGGGGUGCAAAUUCCGUGAGGAACAUUAAUGAGGCGCCAGCUCUCCCCAUCAUAAAUCUUGAUUUGGUUCUUGGUUCCUGGAAUGCAGCAGCUGCUCGGAUUCUGCUCUCUGAUUAUGACUUGAGGCAGGUAGAGCCCAAGGGACACCAUUAUGCACCACCAUCAUCUCAGGGACUGCCCUGUUUGGAGGCGCCGUAGUGCCCAGCCAUCCAGCAUGGACUAGGGAACAGAGAUGCAGCCUAGGCCAUGCUCCUUAACUUCUGUGUUCCAGCUGUUGUGAGGCUUUAAGGAUUUCUUCAUAUGUGAGGUUCUCCUACAAGCCGACAGGGUUUGGAUGCAAGUCGUUCACCUGGGGUGUGAGUGCAGAGAGGGAGUCAGAGAAAGAAGCCAAGAAAGGGCAUGUCUUGGGGACACUGACCACUGCGGACGACUCUUCUUGCUGAGGAUGCUCUUGAGAGACCGUGCAGACUCAAGAGUCCCCUCACUGAGGGGUGGUGGGAGCUGGGUGUUCAUCACCAAUUUCUGUCCCUCGCUGGUUGAAAGGCACGCGAAGGGGGCGUUAACCACCCUGACCCUCCCAACCCCCACAGGAAGCUGGCUGAAUGCUGGGUAGCAGUCAGAGAGGACCCCUGGACAGAGAGAGGCAGGCGCUGGAUGGAGGGACCCCUCCACCAAAGCCCCAGGACCCAUGGGCCCUGGCAGUGUCUGCUCUAAUAACCCCGAAAGCUGCAUUUAGGCUAAAGAGGGUAGGUGAGAGGGAACAGAAUAUGAAAAGUGCAGAGGCAGGAGGGAGUGAGGGCUGAGAACUCGGAGGAGGCCAGAACAGCUAACCUGCAGGUAUGUGGGCUGUGUGAUGAGGCUGAGAGGUAUGUGGGACAGACAAACCUUUACUGCAAGAGCUAUGUGAGUCCUGGGAAGGCUUUCAGAGGUGGAUGGCAUGUCAGGCUCACAUGUUAGGAGGAUCUGUGUAGCUGCAGCAUGGUCAGCGGUUCAGAGAAGGUCAGAGUUACAAGAAAUGAUUGGAUAAGAGGUUCUUGAAGAGGUAGGUCCAUGCCAGCUGGGUGUAGGCAGGUGGUGGUUGUGUGGGAGUGGACAGGAAAUAAAGUCAGUGGGACCUGUGCUGUCUGCCUCCUUCACCCCAUGUCCUGCCAUGCCUCUGCCAAGGCCAUUAUUGGCCCUCACUGGACCCACUCCUACUGACCUCCCAUCCCAAGAGUAGGUGAGAACACCUGAACAGAAUGAAAGUAUUUGCUGUGAAGAGGUGUAGCAAUUAGGGCUCAUGGGAGGGGCGACAGAAAGGAACUCUGGCAAGCUUAAGCAAGAGGGGCACUUAUGGGAGGCUCGCAGAGCUCAGAAAACCUGGGUGGCUGAAGGACUGCACCUGAGAAAUGGACAGGAACCCUUUGGCCCCAGAUAGCCAGGCAGCAGGAUCUCCCAUUCUUUCAUUCCCCAGACUACUGAGCGCCUGCUCUGUGCCAAGCAUGGUCGGUCCAAGUGCUGUGGAUAGAGUGAGCCAAGCCCUGUCCUUCCUCUCAUGGGCCUUACAUUCUU